AGUGAACGCUGGCGGUAGGCCUAACACAUGCAAGUCGAACGGCAGCACAGUAAGAGCUUGCUCUUACGGGUGGCGAGUGGCGGACGGGUGAGGAAUACAUCGGAAUCUACUUUUUCGUGGGGGAUAACGUAGGGAAACUUACGCUAAUACCGCAUACGACCUACGGGUGAAAGCAGGGGAUCUUCGGACCUUGCGCGAUUGAAUGAGCCGAUGUCGGAUUAGCUAGUUGGCGGGGUAAAGGCCCACCAAGGCGACGAUCCGUAGCUGGCCUGAGAGGAUGAUAAGACACACUGGAACUGAGACACGGUCCAGACUCCUACGGGAGGCAGCAGUGGGGAAUAUUGGACAAUGGGCGCAAGCCUGAUCCAGCCAUACCGCGUGGGUGAAGAAGGCCUUCGGGUUGUAAAGCCCUUUUGUUGGGAAAGAAAAGCAGCAGGUUAAUACCCCGCUGUUCUGACGGUACCCAAAGAAUAAGCACCGGCUAACUUCGUG
rnacentral:rRNA from 1 species